CCCACAUAAAGUUUGAUAUUUUCCCUCAACCUUAUGCUGUCUUGCUCUAGAUGGAAAAAUGCUUCCCCCAGGAGACACAAUAAUAACUUAUUCGACCAGGAAGGUAAGACUGGCCACUCUGAAUCAACGAGCAAAGAAAGGAGUUGCUGUGCUGACUGGGGUGAUUGUCCCUGACUACUAAAGGAAAAAUUGGACAGCUAUGAUGGCUACUCUACAAUGGAGAGUCAUUGUGAUUUAAGGAGAUGUGUAUGAGUGCCAAGUUGACAAGACAAAGCAUGAACUUAUGAUGGUUAAUUUACAUGUCGUUUUGACAGGACACUGCAUAACCAGAUUAAAGAUUAUUUCUGAGUGUGUCUGUGAGAUUGUUUCUGGGGGAGUUAGCAUUUGAAGCUGUGAACUGAGUAAAGCAGAUUUUUCUCCCAAAUGUGGGUGGGCAGUGUCCAAU
rnacentral:lncRNA from 10 species